UUUUUGUCAUUUCGUUACUUUUAUUUAGUUAGUAUUUCAUAUGUUUAUGCAGUAUCUCACUGAUAUAUUUCAUCCCGCAAAUCAAAUGGAAUUGAAUGAUGUUGAAUGUCACUUGGCAGCAUACAUAUUCAGUCCCCAGAUCAAUAAGAAAAUUGAUGAGAAUGAGAUCAUGGUGAGCACGGAAAUAGACUACACUAUAGGAACAAGGAAGUUGCUACAGUGUUUGAGGCCAAACCAAUCAAUUGGGCAAGAUGUAAUUGAUCUGGUGGCCACCAUGUUGACUCACGAUGAGAGAUCGAAUUCGAAGAUACUCACGAUGAUAAAUUUGUAUUAUGUUUAGGAAUGAUUGUGCGAUUUGGGUGAUUAAAUGGAUGACGCAAAAGGGAACUGAUGGAUACAAGAUUAAAGUGGAUGAAGGCUCAAGACUACAAACUGCACUGCAAUUGAUAAUGCAUCCUUACAAUAAAGAAAGGAAAUUGAUCUUGAACAAUUCGUUGAAGUGCAAACAUAAAGCAAAGUAGUUUCAUUUUCUAGAGAUAUCUUAUUUUAGAACUCAGACUUUCUUUCAAGUUUUUUGUACUUGUUAUAUAAUUUUCUGAGACUACCGAUUAUUUUCGCUUUAUUUGGUUGUGCUUCUAUUUAGUUUUAUCUUCAAUUUGCAUAUGAUGUACCAGAUAUUAUGUUCAAAAUUUUAAGAGGUAUCAUGGUUUUGCUUUUGAUUCAA